rnacentral:rRNA from 1 species
GAUGAACGCUGGCGGCGUGCCUAAUACAUGCAAGUCGAGCGAACGGACGAGAAGCUUGCUUCUCUGAUGUUAGCGGCGGACGGGUGAGUAACACGUGGAUAACCUACCUAUAAGACUGGGAUAACUUCGGGAAACCGGAGCUAAUACCGGAUAAUAUUUUGAACCGCAUGGUUCAAAAGUGAAAGACGGUCUUGCUGUCACUUAUAGAUGGAUCCGCGCUGCAUUGGCUAGUUGGUAAGGUAACGGCUUACCAAGGCAACGAUGCAUAGCCGACCUGAGAGGGUGAUCGGCCACACUGGAACUGAGACACGGUCCAGACCCCUACGGGAGGCAGCAGUAGGGAAUCUUCCGCAAUGGGCGAAAGCCUGACGGAGCAACGCCGCGUGAGUGAUGAAGGUCUUCGGAUCGUAAAACUCUGUUAUUAGGGAAGAACAUAUGUGUAAGUAACUGUGCACAUCUUGACGGUACCUAAUCAGAAAGCCACGGCUAACUACGUG